UUCAGGAGGUUAGUUAGGGAUCUUUGUGGAGAUUCCCUCUUGGAGAAGAUUGUUUGAAGAAGUUGCCCGGGUCUUUGCCAGGGUGUGGGGCGUGCAGCCAGAGAGUAGGAACUGUUCCCAGCGCCUCUUCCCUUCUCCCCAGCACAAGUACACGUCGAUCGCAGAGGUCCAGGCGCAGAUGGAGGAGGAGUUCCUUCGCUCUCCUCUUUCAGGGGGAGAAGAGGAAGUGGAGCAAGUCCCUGCAGAAACACUCUACCAAGGCCUGCUCCCCAGCCUGCCGCAGUACAUGAUCGCGCUGCUGAAGAUCCUGCUGGCUGCAGCCCCCACCUCCAAAGCCAAAACCGACUCGAUCAACAUCCUGGCCGACGUCCUGCCUGAGGAGAUGCCGUGAGUACCGUCGCCCCUGUGCGUGGAACAGGUGGGGCAACAGAACGGGGCCGUGUCUCCCUUUCAGUCCCCAGGUUUGGGAGGUUGCUUC